CGCGGCCUAUCAGCUUGUUGGUGGGGUAGAAGCCUACCAAGGCGACGACGGGUAGCCGGCCUGAGAGGGCGACCGGCCACACUGGGACUGAGACACGGCCCAGACUCCUACGGGAGGCAGCAGUGGGGAAUCUUGCGCAAUGGGCGAAAGCCUGACGCAGCGACGCCGCGUGGGGGAUGAAGGCCUUCGGGUUGUAAACCCCUUUCAGCAGGGACGAAGCGAAAGUGACGGUACCUGCAGAAGAAGCGCCGGCUAACUACGUGCCAGCAGCCGCGGUAACACGUAGGGCGCAAGCGUUGUCCGGAAUUAUUGGGCGUAAAGAGCUCGUAGGCGGACUGUUGCGUCCGCUGUGAAAAGCUGGGGCUUAACCCUGGCCUUGCAGUGGAUACGGGCAGACUAGAGGUAGGUAGGGGAGAAUGGAAUUCCCGGUGUAGCGGUGAAAUGCGCAGAUAUCGGGAGGAACACCGGUGGCGAAGGCGGUUCUCUGGGCCUUACCUGACGCUGAGGAGCGAAAGCGUGGGGAGCGAACAGGAUUAGAUACCCUGGUAGUCCACGCUGUAAACGUUGGGCGCUAGGUGUGGGGUCCUUCCACGGAUUCCGUGCCGCAGCUAACGCAUUAAGCGCCCCGCC
rnacentral:rRNA from 1 species